rnacentral:lncRNA from 1 species
CCCUGGCCCUACGGUCUUUUCCUACCUCCAUGGUAUAAUCGCCCCUUCCAUAAAAACGUACAUCAAAAAACAUACCGAGAAACGUUUGUGCCAAUUAUCAGAGGCGAAUCCAGGAAUUUUUCCAGCGGAGCUAAGCCCUCAGAUUUGUUAUGUCUGAUUGUUGCGGACGGGCAGACGCAUAGUUUUCAUUUCACAGGGACUCCUGCACUCAGGCCUUAUGUAGAUGUUUCACAAAGCCCAAACCUAUGCGCGGAUGGAUGGAACAGAGGUGUGCACACAGGCGAAGGGUCAAGUUAACAGCGAGAACAUCAUAGGCCUGGGACUCCAUUAUCCAGCUGAAGACCCAACAACAGUGUCGAGGAGCUGUGACAACUGUGCAGGCGAUUCACUGCUUGUCUUUUGCAAUGGGUAUCAGUUUCACUUAAGCUUGUGGAUGCGCCGCAGCUGGAUGUAACCCAAGAUCAGAAGGAUGAUGAUCAUUGAUCCCAGGGCAACCUCAUUCUUCCAGAGACCCCAGUCUGUGUCAUCAAUGCCUUGCUGCCCAAGCACCAAAACCAAGGUUGAGCAACUGAGAGCCUGUUUGACGUUGUCAAUCUUGAGAGAUUGGCACAGGAACCAAGAUUGUCAGAGACCUGGUUCCUCCAUGAGAGACAAGUAAAGGGGAGUUGGACAGGCUAAAUCUGUCAGCAAACUCACAUGUGAGUUACUACCCCUCUGGUAAGAAUGCUGUGGACUCGUGAGAAACAUCAUCUCUGCCAUAGAAGACAGGCUGCACGGUGGACCUUAACACCGACAGUUUCUUUGAAUUAUACCCACUAAACACUAGUACUGACAACCUUUAUUGCUAACAAUUGAGUGAAUAAGUCAAACCCAAGGUUUUGAACAAAUCACUGGGAGAACAAACAUUUGAAAAAGGUGUUUAUUUCUGCCUGUUAAGAAUGAUCUGUGAAAAUGUAAAUAAAAUGUAUCUCACUUUGUAAAUACAGCUAUUAUGCAUAUUAAUGUAAAUAAAUGUAUUUAACUUUGUAUGUACUAAAGGAAAGUUGUGUAAUUGGAAACCUAUUUUGUUGCACUGUAUACCAGACUAAUGAAGGUCUAAUUUCUUGCAAAGGGAAAACUUUGGAAUGUGAGAAAGAUAUACACCUUCAUUUUACUUGCAUGCAAAUAUAAUGUGCCCUCGUCUUACAAAAGCAUGCUACUUUUUAAGUUUUUGUGCUGUUUGUUCUGUUUUUGUUCCUAUUUUGUUCAUUUUUUGGCUGUUGAAAAAGUAUGCUUUGCACCACUGAAUUAUGGGGGGUGAUCAAAUGGCCCAUCCCAUGAUCCAAAUGUGAGUGGGGUUUCAGAAACCCUUCACCUAGGAGUUGUAUCAAAUACCAGUGUAUGCUGUUUAACAGUGUGUGCCAGUAACUAAUGGUGCUUAAGUGCACUGUAAGGGAUGACUUUUUAACUGCAUCAUAUUAUGCAAUGAUUGAACUUUGCUAUCUA